UCUCUCACCACGGUUCAACUAACCAAUAGCCGGCCUAGUCCUGGCACCAGGGCCCGCCUAUUGGCCCGCGAGCCGUGGGCGCACGCGUGGAAGGGCUUAGGGGCGGUGAUAGGGGUGCGCGGGUGGAGCGGACCGCCGCCCCGGAUCUGACCUGCGGCCCGCUUGCCCCUGAAGGGACCCUGAGGGGCCGGGGUAGGAAGCGGAACUGGAACUGGAGCUGGAGAAUGAACCCUGGCCCAAGCUGAGGACAGAAAGCUCAGCAAUUUAGGGGCGAGAGGGAGAGAAGUAGAGGUGGCCCUGCAAAAUGGGGAACCCUAAGAGGGAGGAGGUGGCCGGGUGACGCAGGCUGCGUUCACCCAGCAGUGUAGGCGCCAGGGUUGCCAGCCUGAUCUCUCUCCGGCCCUGUCCGCUGUGUCCUCUCUGCGGUCCCUCCUCUCUCCGUCUGGUGCAGGCUCGUGUUAUCUCUCAGCUUUCCUACCUUUCCCCCUCGCAGGCGCCUCCACCUUCCUGGCCGAGCCCGGCCUACCCUCUGGAGCCGCUCCUGUCUGCUGGGCUCGCUCCGUCCCACACCCCUGGGUGUCUCAGCACUAACCCGGGUGAGCCCCGCGCUCCAGGACUUUCCUCAUCCGCCACAACUUUUCACGCCCCUGCUUAGGAUCUAGUUUAACCUGAAUGGGAUUGCCCUUUUGAAAUGCUGGAACCCUAAUUCUACCUCCAGAACCUCUUAUAGAUCCUUUCCUGAUUCAAACAGGUCAUCUCCCACUUAGCACGCUUGUUUCUGUAAUAUUUUGAGUUAUGUGGCAAGUUCUUAAGGAGAGCAGUUGUACUUCUCUCAGUUUUAAGGGUCCAUGUUUUGAAACAGUGCCUGUAAAGUACUAUAUGUUCAAUAUAGUUUUAAUAAAUUUAAUAGUAAUUUUAAUAAACCAUUGUUAUUUUUCAUGCUCUUUACAAAAUAGGUAUUUUUCUCAUUUUAAAAAAAGUAAGGAAGACAAAUAUAGAUGAAAAUUUGUUAAGCAGUUUGACUUGAAGCAAUUUGAAAAACGGAUUAGGGCCAGGGAUUUAGCUCAGUGGCGCCAUACCUGUCUCACAAGUGCAAGGCCCCUAGUUCUAUCCCUGGUACCCCGCCCUCCAAAAACAAGGGUUAGAAUCCAGAUCUAUAACUUAUGCUGGUUCUCCUAAAUUCCACUGCUCCAGGAUAGUAUCUUUAUUCAUAUCUCUUUAUUGGAUUAUUUGAAACAUUCAUGUUCAGGGCACCGCAGUUGGCACUGGAGAUAUAGCAACAAACAUGAUAGACAUGGCACUUUAUUUUGUGAAUGUUUCAUUGUGAAAAAAGCUGAAGUAGACUAGCCAAAGAUUGCCACCUCAUCAGAAGCAAGCUGAACCCAAGAAGGAAAGUAAAGGAGGUAGAGAAGAAGGAAAGAGUAUUUCCCCAUACCUCUCCUUAGGAGCUUCUGCAGCUUCACAGAAACAGCUGGAGAGCAGCUGAAUCAUACAAGUUUCUAACUAUAAAAUCUCCUGAUGGAAAAACCAAAAAGAAGUAUUGACAGUGGGGAGAAGCUGGAUUGAUGUCUCAGCAGGCAAAUAUGACACAAGACACCCUCUUUAAAGCUCUCCUGAGCAACCGCAUUGAAGGAGAAGUGAAACAGCAAUUGCUCGUGGCAAUACACAGGGAGGCAAGAUUUUAAUAUAGCACCACUGUCACAUUCAGUGACUGGAUAAGAAACAGGAGAUAGCCAUGGACAAGAAGUGAGCUAGAAAGAGAUCCACUGAGAAGUUUAAACUCAGGACAGAAGAACAGUGGUGCCACACCCUACAGUGAGAAGCCGGGCUCAGCUUUAGUUGCACUCAGAAAUAGCUAGCUCUGAAAGUGUCUGCUGGCGCUGGCUGAAGAGUGGGCUGGUUGUGGUGCUGGAGAUGGCCUUGUGCAUGCUAGGCAACGACUCUAUCCUUGUGCUGCACCUUAGACUCAUGGCACUGAACCUAUGGCAAGUGUGCAGAAGUGGACUAUUUGUAUCAUUGAAACAUCUAAAAGAUGAUUGUGACCUCCAGGCACAAUAGAGGUGAUAGAGGAUGCCCCAUGCCUGAGAGAUGCCUUGGUCAUGUCCUCUAUGGAGAUGAUGGUCCAGCCAGAGGGAGAAGGAAGAGAGUGCUCCAGGGCCCUUGAGUCUUGUUGGUCCAGGUGAGCUGCUGCUAAGGUUGUCAUCUUCUCUUGCCUUGGUCUCCUGCUGCUCUCAAUUAUAAAAUACCGAGGAAGCAAUUGUUGCUAAAGUAUCAAGUGAACUAUGUGGAGCAAAAACCAUCUUUUGUAACUCUUUUCUAAUAUCUGGGGCUGACUGUAAUAAACUUGUGUUUAAGACUAAUCUGUCUUUCUGUUGAAUCAGGAGCCAGGGAUUCAUGUUUUAACAAUU